rnacentral:tRNA from 2 species
GCAGCCGUCUUCUAAAUGGACUAGGAAACCUGCCUUUCAAGCAGGAUAAUGCGGGUUCGACCCCCGUCGGCUGUGCCA